AACUUUUCGCAACGGAUCACUUGGCUCUCGCAUCGAUGAAGAACGCAGCGAAAUGCGAUAAGUAAUGUGAAUUGCAGAAUUCAGUGAAUCAUCGAAUCUUUGAACGCACCUUGCACCCUUUGGCAUUCCGAAGGGUAUGCUCGUUUGAGUGUCAUUGUACUCUCACACUCCCGAUGCUUUUGGAUUGGGAGUGGUGGACUUGGGUGUUGCUGCUUUACUGUGGCUCACCUCAAAUGGAGUAGUGCAACUCUUGGUUGGACAUAGUACGGCGUGAUAAGUGUCUUCGCCGGCGCCUCAUUAGAGGGUGGCCGAUCGGGAGCUCUGUGCUUCAAACCGUCUUCGGACAACAUCUGACAACUUGACCUCAAAUCGAGUAGGACUACCCGCUGAACUUAAGCAUAUCAAUAAGCGGAGGCU
rnacentral:misc_RNA from 1 species